ACUUGAUAGCAUCUGCUGUACUCCUAAAUGGACCCACAUGUCCAGUGAGUGGAUCCAUCCAGGAGAUCAUAAUGUCUUGUUGACCAGUUGCAUUUCUACAAACUACAUGUAAAUGGUCUUUCUAGGAAGAUUCAAACAUUUAAAGUUACAUGACAAGUUGGAUGUUCCUGUGUUUGUCAGUUCCAGAAAAAACUUCUGAUUUGCUGACAAACAUUGCAGUGAAGGUUUCCUAUCAGAACAGCUUUUUCCUUUUUCUUUCUUUCUUUUUCUUUUUUUUUUUCCCCUCUGUAAUUGAGAGAUUAUUACAGGGCAAAAUAUCUAGGAAAUAACAUAACUAAAGGGGAAAGACUUUGACAAAAUCCAAAUGAAGAAAAAAUAGUGCUGGUGUUACCUUGCUCUUAGGAAAAAUGUGAAGAUUAUAUUUAAAGAAAAGUCUUCUUUUCCAGAGCACAUUUAUUUUCCUUGAGAGGUGGAGAACGAACAGAAUAGUCUUCUUCUGAUCCGUGUUUCAAGUAGUUGCUGUGAUUUGAAGACUGAAAAAUAAAAUAAAAAAGAGCAACAUGAACUAUAGCUAGAAGCCUUUGAAAAUUGGCAGAAAAGUAAGUGAUAAAGCAUGUCAGCAUGUGCCAAUAUUCACCCCAGGAACCCAGCUACCACCUCUAUUUUCUUUUCUGGUGAAAAACAUUUCAGUUUGCAAAAAAUCACAUGGCCAUAAUCAGAUGCCCUAAGUCAGAUUCCCUGCUGUUGUGGAACAGCUGGGUUCUAGCAGAAGUGCAGAAUGAACAGUAACAUUGGUUUCAUUCUCACCCUAUGAAAUUAAAGUACUUCAGAUAAUUUAGAAAAAGAGAUUUUCAAAAUGUUUCUAAUUUUGAAAUAGUUCCAUAAAAUAUUUGGUGAAAAAUAUUGUGAACGCUAUUUCUUGUUUUGUUUCCUUUUAUUUGACAAGAUCUAGACUCCUGGGGUUAAAUUAUACCAUGGUUAUUGCUGUCUGAAGAAUAAGCUCUUCCAGUAGAACUGGUCUUGGAAUUCUUUUAUAUGUAGUCUGUCACAAGAUUUUUUUUUUUUUUCAUUUUUUCUGCAAUAGCUACUUAAUGAAUUGGCAGAAAUUUGAAUUAUGUAACUUAGAGGGAUAAAAAGGAUUAUCUCUAAGUCAGAAGACAAUUUUAUAUUGUGUUUACAGUUAGUGACAUCCAGAAAUUCCCUUCAGUGGGGAAAACAUUUAAGAUAAUGAAAGUUUGUUCCCAGUGAGGUAGAAUGAGGGGUAUUUUUAUUUGUUUGUACUGGACAGCUUUUCUUCAAAUAGAUAUAUGUUUGUUUUUUUUUUCCUCCACACUCUCCGGGUAAUAUAAAUAAGUCAAAGGCCAACUCAGUAAGGUUCUUGUCCCUUUAACUCUGUGGAAACGUAGUCCAAUUCCUUAUGUUGUCAACACCUACAUCUUGUGAGAGGAAUUUGAUUGGGAUUGCAGAAAAUGUGAUACAACUCAGUAAGAAUAAGAACUUCUGAGCUCUGAUUGCAGAUUUUAUUAAGUUAAUGUGCAGAAUUUUGUCUUUUGACAAUCAUCUUGACUGGAGAAUUUCAACUUUCUUCAGUGAUAUGUAAAGGGUAUGAAGAACAAAGUUACAGCAUCUCACCAUGGGUAACAUUUCUAGACUUGUGAGUAGAUAUACUUCCCCAGAAAAAUACCUUUAGCUGUGUAGCUGUGGGGUUCGUGCUAAAGAAGGUAUUUCUAUGCACAUCUCUGUAGCUUAUGGCCUAGUAGCUACACAAACUAGCACAGUGUGACGUACCUGUGACUCUGAGUUUAGGAUCAAAUCUUUGAAAUCUUCCCUGUUAAGGAAGGAAAUUGGGUGAGGAACUAGCACAACACUGCUGUGUCUAAGCAACAGAGAUGUUUCCUUCUGCCUUUGUCCACCUCCUUGAAUAUCUUUAGUUCCUCCUCCUCCCUCAUUUAGCAAGUCUAGAUUCUUGCUCAGUUUAAUUAAGUAUUUCCAGGGAAAAGAAAGAAAAAGCUUUCCAACCAACAGAUUUCUACUACUUUUGACAGCUUGCUUUUCACAUCUUUUUUGAAACCUCUAAAAACGACAAGAUAAACUUUGUUUCUGCUUGGUUUUAAUGUUCUGAAACAUAGAGACAAAUGGAAGAAUAUUUCUGUUUUCAUCUGCAGUUAGACACAGCUCACUCUUUAAAAAUUUUCUCUUAAAAAAAAAAGACUGUUGUUUGAAAGUAAAGGAAGAUGAAUUAACCUAGCAGUAAAACAUUUAUACUGUUAUUUUAAUGAAUGUGUACAAACUGGGAAAAAAACUCCUUGAGUGUAGCCAUACUGAGAAGGACUUAGGAAUUCUGGUUGAUGAAAACCUAUGGAUGCCGCAUCCCUGGAGGUGUUUAAGGCUGGGUCGGAUGGGGCCCUGAGCAAUCAGAACUUACUGUAGGAGUAGCUGCUGCAGGUAGCAGAUGGUAGAAGACUUCCACUAUCUUUGGAGCAUCUCCACCAUGCUUUGGUGGAAGAAUCUAUUCUCUGCUCCUGAUAGCUGUUGUACACCAGGUAAGCUAUCUGCUCACAGCUCCAGUGCUCCUAUAUAGACACUGCAACAGUUGGAGCUGGGACUUGUCCUUCACUUAGCUUUAGAAGAUAAGACGUUUGUAAAUCCUCUUACAGACAUUGAGUUCUCUUUCAGGUUAUUCUUUUUUCUAUGGAUGGCAGUCUUUCUGCACCCUGUAGGUGUCUCUGGGCCUGUGGACUGGUAGAUCAACCCAAAGCAGACUAUCUGCUCCAGACUUUCCAAUACACUUGACCUCUCAUUUCAAUAAUCAUGGUUUGCUUUCUGAAUUAUUUUAAGCUAGUUUUAUAUUUCUGAUGUAGCCUCUAGAGACUCUUCCUUUUUAGUUUCUGUGCUUAUUUUCCCAAGGACAGUUUGGAACUGGUCUCCUCUUGCAUUAUACAUACAUUACAACUGGAUUUGGCGCUGCCUACUCUUGGAGAGUUAUCCCUGAAGAGGAAAGGUACGAUCAGGAGCUCCUGUAACUAAAACCAGAGGCAGUAGCUCUUCCAACAACCUUCCCAACAGAAUCAUCCUAUGCUACUCUUGAUGUCAUCAAGAUCUUCAUCCCACAGGACAAUCUUUCUGUUUAUUAAUUUUACACUUCUCUCU
ensembl:lncRNA